AGUGAACGCUGGCGGUAGGCCUAACACAUGCCAGUCGAACGGCAGCACAGUAAGAGCUUGCUCUUACGGGUGGCGAGUGGCGGACGGGUGCGGAAUACAUCGGAAUCUACUUUUUCGUGGGGGAUAACGUAGGGAAACUUACGCUAAUACCGCAUACGACCUACGGGUGAAAGCAGGGGAUCUUCGGACCUUGCGCGAGUGAAUGAGCCGAUGUCGGAUUAGCUAGUUGGCGGGGUAAAGGCCCACCAAGGCGACGAUCCGUAGCUGGUCUGAGAGGAUGAUCAGACACACGGGAAGAGAGACACGGUCCAGACUCCUGCGGGAGGCCGCGGCGGGGAAUAUUGGACAAUGGGCGCAAGCCUGAUCCAGCCAUACCGCGUGGGUGAUGAAGGCCUUAGGGCUGUAAAGCCCUUUAGGUGGGAAAGAAAAGCAGCAGUUUAAUACCCCGCUGUUCUGACGGUACCCAAAGAAUAAGCACCGGCUAACUUCGUG
rnacentral:rRNA from 1 species